UCCUGGGGCGGGGGGGAAGGGGAGGUAGAGAUGAGGUGCUGAGCAGCUGAACCCUCAGACAGCCACGUGAACCUCCCUUCACUGCAGCAGUUUGAGAGCCUGGCCUGGAAGGGUGCAAAAGGCUCACUGUCAACCCCAUUGGGAAUCCAGUCCAAUAUAUCCUGACAUCCUCAUGAUCACUUAACUGGGGUGAAGAGAGGGAAGGGUCUCAGGGCCAAGAAUCAGAAACCCCAAGUCUAGUCCCAUUUUAUUUCUUAUCAGCUGUGUCAUCAUAGACGAGUCACAACUUCCCUACAAAAGGAGACUACAAGUACCUCUGUCUGGAACAAUGUCAGACACUACUGUGUCCUCAGUUGCUAGCAUAUUGACCCUUUUUAUGGGCUACACAAAAUUGUGGAAUCUCUGUCCACAAUUUUGGAAAAUAAGACAUGCACCCAUGAAACAUUUCUUGAGAAAUGGCAUCACGUGUACAAGCAUGUCCUUAUUUAAUCAUCAUUCGCUGUGUACCUGCUGUGUGCCAGGUGCCACGUUGGACAUGGGACCCAGUGCCUGGGGCAUUGAAUCUGGUGGGAGAGACAGGCAUGACAGUAGGCAGUUGUUCCAUUGUGUGUGAAGUGCUGUCAUGGGGAAAACAGGAGGCUAUGGCAAUAUUUUGGAGGAACAUGUAAAGCCCUGGCUUUGGAAGUUAGGGGAGGUUUUCUGGAGAAGCAAUUCAGAAGCUGAGACCUAAAUAAUGAGGUGAUAACCAGGUGAGGUGGGGAGGAGGAUGUAGUGUUCCAGGCAGAAAGAACAGCAUGUGCAAAGGCUCAGAGGUGAGAGCAUGAGUGGUGUUAGAAACUGAAUGUAGUUCAGGAUGGCUGGAGCGUGGCCAGGGAAGAGAUGGUGUUGGGGCCAGAUCAUGACGGGUUGAGUAAACUGGGCUUCAGAAUUUGAGCGUGAUUGUAAGUGACUGAAAUUUAUGGUGUGAGAUGAUUCCUGGUGGCUGGGUAGAGAAUGAAUUAGGGAUAAGUUGGAAGACCAACUAGGGGAGAGAGACAGCAGAACUUUGUCUGGGCCUGAGAGAGAGCUGUUGGAAUGGAGACAAGUGGUGGAGUCCAGUUUUGAAGGUAGAACUUACUGGGUUUGAUGUAAGAACACGAGUCAAGGAUGACACAGCUUUAUGGUUUGAGCAACUGGGAAGAUGAGGGUGCUGUUUUGAGAGAUGAAUAAUGCAGGAGGAGCAGGUUUGUGAAAAGAUGAUGUAAUCAAGUUGGGACAUGUUCAAUUUAAUUUUCUGCUAUUUUAAUAUCUUCUGAGAUUUCAAACCUUAGAGUAAAAUGCUUUCAGAGCUGUUAA